rnacentral:rRNA from 1 species
AAAGCGCACGCAGGCGGUCUGUCAAGUCGGAUGUGAAAUCCCCGGGCUCAACCUGGGAACUGCAUUCGAAACUGGCAGGCUAGAGUCUUGUAGAGGGGGGUAGAAUUCCAGGUGUAGCGGUGAAAUGCGUAGAGAUCUGGAGGAAUACCGGUGGCGAAGGCGGCCCCCUGGACAAAGACUGACGCUCAGGUGCGAAAGCGUGGGGAGCAAACAGGAUUAGAUACCCUUGU